CUACGGGUGGCAGCAGGCGCGAAACUACUACAAUGCACGAAAGUGUGAUAGGGGAAUCCCUGGUGCUUAUACUUUGUAUAGGCUUUUAUUAAAGGUAAAUUCUUUGGUAAAUAAGUGAUGGGCAAGACCGGUGCCAGCAGCCGCGGUAAUACCGGCGUCACAAGUGGCAAUCGCAUUUAUUGGGUCUAAAGCGUUCGUAGCCGGUUUAAUAAAUCUUUUGUGAAAUUGUCGAGCUCAACUUGACAACCUGCAGAAGACACUAUUAAACUAGAGACUGGGAGGGGUUAGAAGUAUUUCAUGAGGAGCGGUAAAAUGUUGUAAUCCAUGAAAGACUGCCAAUGGCAAAGGCAUCUAACCAGAACGGAUCUGACGGUGAGGAACGAAGGCCAGGGUAGCGAACCGGAUUAGAUACCCUCGUAGUC
rnacentral:rRNA from 1 species